GACGAACGCUGGCGGCGUGCCUAACACAUGCAAGUCGAGCGAGUGAAUCUCCUUCGGGAGUGAAGCUAGCGGCGGACGGGUGAGUAACACGUGGGCAACCUGCCUCAUAGAGGGGAAUAGCCUUUCGAAAGAAAGAUUAAUACCGCAUAAGAUUGUAGCUUCGCAUGAAGUAGCAAUUAAAGGAGCAAUCCGCUAUGAGAUGGGCCCGCGGCGCAUUAGCUAGUUGGUGAGGUAACGGCUCACCAAGGCGACGAUGCGUAGCCGACCUGAGAGGGUGAUCGGCCACAUUGGGACUGAGACACGGCCCAGACUCCUACGGAGGCAGCAGUGGGGAAUAUUGCACAAUGGGGGAAACCCUGAUGCAGCAACGCCGCGUGAGUGAUGGCGGCCUCGGUUGUAAAGCGUCUGUCUUUAGGGUACGAGUAAUAGACUGUACCUGAGAGGAAGGCCGACGGCGUAACUAACGUGACCGGCAGCCGCGGUAACG
rnacentral:rRNA from 1 species